rnacentral:rRNA from 1 species
GAUAAACGCGGGCGGCGUGCAUAACACAUGCAAGUCGAACGAUGAACCUUAUUAGAUUUCUUCGGAAUGAAAAUAAGUGGAUUAGUGGCGAACGGGUGAGUAACACGUGAGUAACCUGCCUUACACAAGGGGAUAGCCUUUGGAAACGAAGAAUAAUACCCUAUAACGUCAAAAUAUCGCAUGAUAAAGUGACCAAAGAUUUAUCGGUGUAAGAUGGACUUGCGUCUGAUUAGCUAGUUGGUGAGAUAAAAGCCCACCAAGGCGACGAUCAGUAGCCGGCUUGAGAGAGUGUACGGCCACAUUGGGACUGAGACACGGCCCAAACUCCUACGGGAGGCAGCAGUGGGGAAUUUUGCACAAUGGGGGAAACCCUGAUGCAGCGACGCCGCGUGAUUUAGAAGGCCUUCGGGUUGUAAAAAUCUUUUUUAUGGGAUGAAAAUGACAGUACCAUAAGAAUAAGGUCCGGCUAAAUACGUGCCAGCAGCCGCGGUAAUACGUAUGGACCGAGCGUUGUCCGGAAUCAUUGGGCGUAAAGGGUACGUAGGCGGCCUAGUAAGUUAGAAGUGAAAUAAUAUAGCUCAACUAUAUAAAGCUUUUAAAACUGUUAGGCUUGAGAGAUGAAAGGGAAAGUGGAAUUCCUAGUGUAGCGGUGAAAUGCGCAGAUAUUAGGAAGAAUACCGGUGGCGAAGGCGACUUUCUGGUCAUCAUCUGACGCUGAGGUACGAAAGCGUGGGUAGCAAACAGG